rnacentral:rRNA from 1 species
AUUGAACGCUGGCGGAAUGCUUUACACAUGCAAGUCGAACGGUAGAGGGGGCAACCCCUUGAGAGUGGCGAACGGGUGAGUAAUAUAUCGGAACGUGCCCAGUCGUGGGGGAUAACGUAGUGAAAAUUACGCUAAUACCGCAUACGAUCUAAGGAUGAAAGCGGGGGAUCGCAAGACCUCGCGCGAUUGGAGCGGCCGAUAUCAGAUUAGGUAGUUGGUAGGGUAAAGGCCUACCAAGCCAACGAUCUGUAGCUGGUCUGAGAGGACGACCAGCCACACUGGAACUGAGACACGGUCCAGACUCCUACGGGAGGCAGCAGUGGGGAAUUUUGGACAAUGGGCGAAAGCCUGAUCCAGCCAUUCCGCGUGCAGGAUGAAGGCCCUCGGGUUGUAAACUGCUUUUGUACAGAACGAAAAGGUCUCUAUUAAUACUAGGGGCUCAUGACGGUACUGUAAGAAUAAGCACCGGCUAACUACGUG